AGAUUUGAUCCCUGGCUCAGAUUGAACGCUGGCGGCAGGCUUAACACAUGCAAGUCGAGCGGUAGCACAGGGGAGCUUGCUCCCCGGGUGACGAGCGGCGGACGGGUGAGUAAUGUCUGGGAAACUGCCUGAUGGAGGGGGAUAACUACUGGAAACGGUAGCUAAUACCGCAUAACGUCGCAAGACCAAAGAGGGGGACCUUCGGGCCUCUUGCCAUCAGAUGUGCCCAGAUGGGAUUAGCUAGUAGGUGGGGUAAUGGCUCACCUAGGCGACGAUCCCUAGCUGGUCUGAGAGGAUGACCAGCCACACUGGAACUGAGACACGGUCCAGACUCCUACGGGAGGCAGCAGUGGGGAAUAUUGCACAAUGGGCGCAAGCCUGAUGCAGCCAUGCCGCGUGUGUGAAGAAGGCCUUCGGGUUGUAAAGCACUUUCAGCGAGGAGGAAGGUGGUGAACUUAAUACGUUCAUCAAAUGAC
rnacentral:rRNA from 1 species